rnacentral:rRNA from 1 species
UACGGAGGUGGCGAGCGUUGCUCGGAAUUACUGGGCGUAAAGGGUGCGUAGGCGGCCAUAUAAGUCAUCCGUGAAAGCCCUCCGCUCAACGGAGGAAUUGCGGAUGAAACUGUAUGGCUUGAGGCCAGGAGAGGGAGGUGGAAUUCCCGGUGUAGCGGUGAAAUGCGUGGAUAUCGGGAGGAACACCAGUGGCGAAGGCGGCCUCCUGGACUGGCCCUGACGCUGAGGCACGAAAGCUGGGGGAGCAAACAGG